GUCUCAGUAGCUUAACAAUAAAGCAUUGGUUUUGUAAACCAAAGCUGGUGAAUUACUCCCUGGGACA
rnacentral:tRNA from 1 species